AGUGGAAAGAAGAAGUACCUACUUCUCGCCUGAUCAAUCAUUUGGUAGGCAAAAUGUCACGUUAAUUAAUCAAACAAUUGACGUUAUAAGUGGGUACGAAAUGUACGCACUUUUUCUUUUUAUU
rfam:complete chromosome Acholeplasma brassicae.